rnacentral:rRNA from 1 species
CGAAUGGGGGAACCCAACAUCUUUAAUAGGAUGUUACGAUUGUGUGAAUACAUAGCACAUUCGAGGUAGACGCAGAGAACUGAAACAUCUAAGUACCUGCAGGAAGAGAAAGAAAAUUCGAUUCCCUGAGUAGCGGCGAGCGAAACGGGAAAAGCCCAAACCAGCAAGCUUGCUUGUUGGGGUUGUAGGACUCCAAUAUGGUAGUUCUUUCAGAUAGUCGAAUGACUUGGAAAAGUCAGUCAAAGAGGGUAAAAACCCCGUAGACGAAAUGUGGAAGACACCUAGGAGGAUCCUGAGUACGGCGGAACACGAGAAAUUCCGUCGGAAUCCGGGAGGACCAUCUCCCAAGGCUAAAUACUCCCUAGUGACCGAUAGUGAACCAGUACCGUGAGGGAAAGGUGAAAAGCACCCCGGAAGGGGAGUGAAAUAGAACCUGAAACCGUGUGCCUACAACAAGUCAAAGCCCGUUAAUGGGUGAUGGCGUGCCUUUUGUAGAAUGAACCGGCGAGUUACGAUUGCAUGCGAGGUUAAGUUGAAGAGACGGAGCCGCAGCGAAAGCGAGUCUGAAUAGGGCGUUUGAGUAUGUAGUCGUAGACCCGAAACCAUGUGAUCUACCCAUGUCCAGGUUGAAGGUGCGGUAAAACGCACUGGAGGACCGAACCCACGUACGUUGAAAAGUGCGGGGAUGAGGUGUGGGUAGCGGAGAAAUUCCAAACGAACUUGGAGAUAGCUGGUUCUCUCCGAAAUAGCUUUAGGGCUAGCCUCGGAAUU